rnacentral:rRNA from 1 species
UACGUAGGGUGCGAGCGUUGUCCGGAAUUAUUGGGCGUAAAGGGCGCGUAGGCUGUGCUGUAAGUCAGGCGUGAAAGCCCCGGGCUCAACCUGGGAAUUGCGCUUGAUACUGCGGCGCUGGAAGGUGGGAGAGGAUGGCGGAAUUCCCAGUGUAGAGGUGAAAUUCGUAGAUAUUGGGAAGAACACCGGUGGCGAAGGCGGCCAUCUGGCCCACAUUUGACGCUGAGGCGCGAAAGCGUGGGGAGCAAACAGG